rnacentral:rRNA from 1 species
GCACGUAGUUAGCCGGUGCUUAUUCUUAGGGUACCGUCAAUUGUCCACGCAUGGACUUUUUCUUCCCCUACUAAAGCAGUUUACAACCCAGAGGGCCUUCCUCCUGCACGCGGCAUGGCUGGGUCAGUCUUCCGACCAUUGCCCAAUAUUCCCUA